AAAAUGUUAGAACAAGUUAUAGUAUUAUUAAAAAAAACUUAUUUAAAAGGUGCCUAAAAGGAUAACAUAACAUAAAAUUAUAUAGAAAAUAUAAAAAGUUGUUCCUUGUGUAUCAUGAUUUUUUAAAAUAAAAAAUUAUUUUAUUUAUCUCGAAAUUAAAAGAUCUAUUUAAUUCUGUGUUAUAUAUUCAAUUAUGUUAAACUAGAACUAAAUAGAAAUAAAAAAUUUUCAUUUUUAAUGAUAUCUAGUUUUUUUAGAAAGAAAUUAAAUUUCUUUAAAAAAUAAAUUAUUUUUUAAAAAAUUUUAUAAGGGAUUAUCUUUAUAAAAAAUUACAAAUAAAUUCAAUAUUAGAUUUUAAGAAUUAAAUUACCUAAAAAUAUAACAAUUUUAAUCUAUUUAAAAUAAUUUAAAAAUUUUUGGUUUUUUAUAAAAACAUAAAAAAACUAAAAAAUAUUAAAGAAUAUAAAAAAAUUAGUAAAUUUUUAAAAAAAAAAAAUGGAAUUCAGCAAAUAUUUUUUCCGAAUGUUUAACAAAAACAUUGCUUCAUGAAUUUAUUAGAAGUAAAACCUGCUCAGUGAACUUUUUAACAGCCAUCAAAUGCUAAGGUAGCAUAAUAAUUUGUCUUUUAAUUGAAGGCUAGUAUGAACGGUAAAACGAGAAAAAAACUUUCUUCUUUUCUCAAAAAUGAAUUUUACCUUUUAGUUAAAAGGCUAAAAUAAAAUUGAAGGACGAUAAGACCCUAUAGAACUUAAAAUAUUAAAACCAUACUAUUUAAAAGAUUUAUUUUGCUGGGGAAGUAAAAAAUUAAAAAUAUUUUUUUUUUAUAACAUAUAAUUGAUUUUUUGAUCCUUAAAAAAGACAACAAGAAAAAGUUACCUUAGGGAUAACAGAGUUAAACUUUUUGAGAGUCCAAAUCGAAAAAAGAUCUUGCUACCUCGAUGUUGAAUUAAGGAAAUAUUUAGAAAGAAGAAGAUUAAAGAAUAGGUCUGUUCGACCUUUAAAACCUUACAUGAUUUGAGUUAAGACCGGCGUAAGCCAGGUUGGUUUCUAUCCUCAAUUUUUUUAUUUUUACAGUACGAAAGGACCUAAAAGUAAAAUAUAAUUU
rnacentral:rRNA from 1 species